UACGAAGGGGGCUAGCGUUGUUCGGAAUUACUGGGCGUAAAGCGCGCGCAGGCGGUCUUCCAAGUCAGUGGUGAAAGCCCGGAGCUCAACUCCGGAACUGCCAUUGAAACUGUUAGACUUGAGGAUGAGAGAGGUGAGUGGAAUUCCCAGUGUAGAGGUGAAAUUCGUAGAUAUUGGGAAGAACACCGGUGGCGAAGGCGGCUCACUGGCUCAUUACUGACGCUCAGGCGCGAUAGCGUGGGGAGUCAAACAGG
rnacentral:rRNA from 1 species